rnacentral:rRNA from 1 species
UCGAACGCUCCGCAAGGAGAGUGGCAGACGGGUGAGUAACACGUGGGAAUCUACCCUUUACUACGGAAUAACGCAUGGAAACGUGUGCUAAUACCGUAUGUGUCCUUCGGGAGAAAGAUUUAUCGGUAAAGGAUGAGCCCGCGUUGGAUUAGCUAGUUGGUGGGGUAAAGGCCUACCAAGGCGACGAUCCAUAGCUGGUCUGAGAGGAUGAUCAGCCACAUUGGGACUGAGACACGGCCCAAACUCCUACGGGAGGCAGCAGUGGGGAAUAUUGGACAAUGGGCGCAAGCCUGAUCCAGCCAUGCCGCGUGAGUGAUGAAGGCCCUAGGGUUGUAAAGCUCUUUCACCGGAGAAGAUAAUGACGGUAUCCGGAGAAGAAGCCCCGGCUAACUUCGUGCCAGCAGCCGCGGUAAUACGAAGGGGGCUAGCGUUGUUCGGAUUUACUGGGCGUAAAGCGCACGUAGGCGGAUCGAUCAGUCAGGGGUGAAAUCCCAGAGCUCAACUCUGGAACUGCCUUUGAUACUGUCGAUCUG